rnacentral:snRNA from 1 species
AUACUUACCUGGCAGGGGAGACACCAUGAUCACGAAGGUGGUUUUCCCAGGGCGAGGCUCAUCCAUUGCACUCUGGAUGUGCUGACCCCUGCGAUUCCUCCAAAUGUGGGAAACUCUACUGCAUAAUUUGUGGUAGUGGGGGGGGGGGGCUGCGUUCGCACUUUCCCCUG